GGCACCGGUGGCUUAGUUGUUAAAGCGUCCGCCUCAAAUGCGGGAGGUAGUGGAUUCUAUCCCUGCUCGAGUCA